rnacentral:misc_RNA from 1 species
GAAGUCAUUAUUCAAUAGGCAAAAGUUAAAAUAUCUAAACAGCCUUCACAAUUAUGUAAAUAGAACAAUUAGCUAUUUUCGCAAUCUGGUAAUAUCAUCCAUCAACAAGAAUUAUUAUAAAAUUCUACUAGUAUAAGAAAGGGGUAAACCAUGGUCUAACUGUUCAUGGAUCUGAGUUCUUCCAACUGUGCCUUUAUUUGAUCUUGAACAAGCUCUAAUCUCUUUGAAUAAACUUCCAAUUCCAGAAUCUGUUGCUUCCUCCAUUUCUCAUCCGUCUUCAUAUUGAUAUCACAGCUCAUUAAACUGUUCCCAAAUCCUACUAAAGGGGAUGGACCCAAUGACAUUCCGAACCCAGAAUAUCUAGAUCCAUUCAAAUUGUUAAACAAUUCCUUGAAAAUGGGUGAUAGACAGCUCCUCACAGUUUCCUCGAUCAAACUAGGAAUUGAAGCUGCAGCUGUAGCUGUGGCUGUGGCCUGGGGGGCGGCCAUCGAGACCGGAGUUGGGGGGAGAAUGACAUUUGUUCCUCCACCAGAUGACUGAUGAUAGUACUGUUGAAUAUACCCGGGUUUUUCUUCUCCUCCUCGAGGCCUUUUUUUCGACUUAGAAGUUUUAACAUCAAACCCGUUAGGAUUAAGAUUGAAGUUAGGGGUGUGAUCAAUGAAAUUUGCGUGGUUAAGGUUGAGAUGUGAAUCCUCAUCAUCAAAUCCACCAUCAUCUGCUGGUGGUGGUGGUGGGGGACCACUGCUACGGACGACAAUUGGUCCGGCAUUGCUCCAGAUCUUGCGAGAGAUCUCGAAGGUGGCUUGAUCGUGAGGGCUCUUAAACACAAAUUCCUUACCAGAUCCCAUCUUGCUCAUCACUGUCCGAUACUUCUUCUUCAAUCUCCUCAGCUUCUCUACUAAUUGAUUCUUGUUGAAAUCCAACUGCAGCUUGUUCUUGAUUUGGUCAUAGAACGCACCUGUAUCAUGAUGAUGAUGCGAAGAUGAAUUUAUCCCACCGCGCUGGGUUGUGUAUUCCAGAAAUCCUUGUAACAAUUCGAUCUCAUCUUCAUCCAUCCACAGCCGUUGAAAAAGCUUGCGAGAAUCAUCCAAAACUAAGGGCUUUUUUUCUUCCACAACCAUCGUGGCCGGAGUAACGCCGAAAUCGUUGAUCCGCUCUCGUUUUGGUUCAAUACAAAGUGAAUCAGUUGCAGGGACACCGACAACGGCUAUAGUAACCUCUCCGGCGACGGAAUGGUUCGCAACGGGCACGGGAGGAGAGGAAGUGGAAUCGUCCUCUUCCUCCUCCUCCUCAUCGACAUCUACGUCGUCAUCUUCAUCAACAACGGCUUCGUUCUGGGGAUGACCGCUCUCUUCAUCAUCUUCCUCAUCGUCAAGAUCAUCAUCGUUGUAGACGACGGCCUGAUCUUCUACGGAAGCCAUUUGAGAAGCUUGAAGGUGUAAUUAGGGUGAGGUGAGG